CGCGUGCACUGGUCCGGCCGGGCCUUUCCUUCUGUGGAACCCCAUGCCCUUCACUGGGUGUGGCGGGGAAACAGGACUUUUACUUUGAAAAAAUUAGAGUGCUCCAGGCAGGCCUAUGCUCGAAUACAUUAGCAUGGAAUAAUAAAAUAGGACGUGUGGUUCUAUUUUGUUGGUUUCUAGGACCGCCGUAAUGAUUAAUAGGGACAGUCGGGGGCAUCAGUAUUCAGUUGUCAGAGGUGAAAUUCUUAGAUCUACUGAAGACUAACUACUGCGAAAGCAUUUGCCAAGGAUGUUUUCAUUAAUCAGGAACGAAAGUUAGGGGAUCGAAGACGAUCAGAUACCGUCGUAGUCUUAACCAUAAACUAUGCCGACUAGGGAUCGGACGAUGUUAUUUUUUGACUCGUCCGGCACCUUACGAGAAAUCAAAGUGCUUGGGCUCCAGGGGGAGUAUGGUCGCAAGGCUGAAACUUAAAGAAAUUGACGGAAGGGCACCACCAGGGGUGGAGCCUGCGGCUUAAUUUGACUCAACACGGGGAAACUCACCAGGUCCAGACACAAUAAGGAUUGACAGAUUGAGAGCUCUUUCUUGAUUUUGUGGGUGGUGGUGCAUGGCCGUUCUUAGUUGGUGGAGUGAUUUGUCUGCUUAAUUGCGAUAACGAACGAGACCUUAACCUGCUAAAUAGCCCGUACUGCUCUGGCAGUUCGCCGGCUUCUUAGAGGGACUAUCGG
rnacentral:rRNA from 1 species